AAAACAAGCAACUUUUAAAAAGGGAAAAAGAAAAGAAACAGGAGAAUAAGACAGAAAAGCGGUUAUCCUUUUUUACUCCGCCUCAUUUACAGAGACAAGAAACAGAUCAUCAGAAAUGGAUAUUUUGAUACCUGCUGUCAAAGAAGCAGAAAUAAUGAUGCCAAAGAUUACAUCUACUAAACAGCUUCCUAAGGAGAUCAUUCAGGACGAUUUACGUGAAUACCUAGAUGCAUGCUUUGAAACCCUAUGAGAUAAAAUUCAAACAGGUCUCUCAGAGUUCAGAACGGAACCCCUAUUAUUGGAGAAAAAGAUGAAUGAAGAAAAAACAGUCCUUGGUAUACCAACAAGCCCAAUUAGAAGACUCACAGGAAAGUCUAAAAAAUAAAAUGGCAGAUUUAGAAUUUAAACUAGCCGAUCUACAAGAUAGAUUGCGACGCAAUAAUUUAAGAUUUAGGGUAAUCCCAGAAACAAAAGCAAAUUAUAAACUAAAUGAAUUAAUUCUAGAUUUAUUCCUUCAAUUGGGCAUUCAACUAACAAAUCCCCUAAACAUUUUGGAACGUAGUCAUAGAGUAAUGAAACCAUCUAUCGUACCUGAAAGUAUACCAAGAGAUGUUCUCAUCUGUUGCACAUCAUAUAAAGUGAAAGAACAAGUCUUGAAAGCAGCAAGAGUGAUUUAGACUCAAUGAACCAUACAAUAAAAUCUCUAUUUUUCUUGGACUGUCUUAUUAUACCAGGAUAAAAAGAAGGCCAUUUGCAACUUGCAUGAAAAUCUUACGCCAAAGGAACAUUCGUUAUGCCUGGAGAUACCCAUGUACAAUCAUUAUCUCUUAUGAGGCGAAGACAUACGCUUUCUCGGAUACACUAGCCUUAUCUAAGUGGUUCAAGGAACUGAACUUUGAUUUGAGUUAAGAGGCACCUAAAACUGAAAAGAGAAAGAUAUAAAGACCGGAGGCUAAGGACUUUUUUUUUUUUGUUUGGUUUU